rnacentral:rRNA from 1 species
ACAGGUGGCUGCAUGGCUGUCGUCAGCUCGUGUCGUGAGAUGUUGGGUUAAGGUCCCGCAACGAGCGCAACCCUUGCCUUUAGUUGCCAGCAGUUCGGCUGGGCACUCUAAAGGGACUGCCGGUGUUAAACCGGAGAAGGUGGGGAGUGACGUCAAGUCCUCAUGGCCUUUAUGACCAGGGCUACACACGUACUACAAUGGCCGAUACAAAGGGCAGCGACACUGCGAGGUGAAGCCAAUCCCGUAAAAUCGGUCUCAGUCCGGAUUGGAGUCUGCAACUCGACUCCAUGAAGUUGGAAUCGCUAGUAAUCGUGGAUCAGCAUGCCACGGUGAAUACGUUCCCGGGCCUU